rnacentral:tRNA from 1 species
GCGGGUGUAGUGUUAGCGGUUUAACACUCCUCCCUUCCACGGAAAAUGGCUACUUCCCGAAGAUAGGAGGCACCGGCGGUUCGAAUCCGUCCGCCCGCA